rnacentral:rRNA from 1 species
UAGCAUAUCAAUAAGCGGAGGAAAAGAAACCAACCGGGAUUGCCUCAGUAACGGCGAGUGAAGCGGCAAGAGCUCAAAUUUGAAAUCUGGCCCCCUCGGGGUCCGAGUUGUAAUUUGCAGAGGAUGCUUCGGGUGCGGCCCCCGUCUAAGUGCCCUGGAACGGGCCGUCAUAGAGGGUGAGAAUCCCGUCUGGGACGGGGUGUCCGCGUCCGUGUGAAGCUCCUUCGACGAGUCGAGUUGUUUGGGAAUGCAGCUCUAAAUGGGUGGUAAAUUUCAUCUAAAGCUAAAUACUGGCCGGAGACCGAUAGCGCACAAGUAGAGUGAUCGAAAGAUGAAAAGCACUUUGAAAAGAGAGUUAAAAAGCACGUGAAAUUGUUGAAAGGGAAGCGCUUGCGACCAGACUCGCCCGCGGGGUUCAGCCGGCAUUCGUGCCGGUGUACUUCCCCGCGGGCGGGCCAGCGUCGGUUUGGGCGGCCGGUCAAAGGCCCCCGGAAUGUAGCACCCUUCGGGGUGCCUUAUAGCCGGGGGUGCAAUGCGGCCAGCCUGGACCGAGGAACGCGCUUCGGCACGGACGCUGGCAUAAUGGUCGUAAACGACCCGUCUUGAAACACGGACCAAGGAGUCUAACAUCUACGCGAGUGUUCGGGUGUCAAACCCGUGCGCGCAGUGAAAGCGAACGGAGGUGGGAGCCCCCCCGCGGGGCGCACCAUCGACCGAUCCUGAUGUCUUCGGAUGGAUUUGAGUAAGAGCGUAAAUGUGGGGACCCGAAAGAUGGUGAACUAUGCCUGAAUAGGGCGAAGCCAGAGGAAACUCUGGUGGAGGCUCGCAGCGGUUCUGACGUGCAAAUCGAUCGUCAAAUUUGGGUAUAGGGGCGAAAGACUAAUCGAACCAUCUGGUAGCUGGUUCCUGCG